rnacentral:tRNA from 1 species
GGAGUGUAGCUCAGUGGUAGAGCAUGUGCUUAGCUGCAUGAGGUCCUGGGUUCAACUCCCAGUACCUCCC